CGGGGUGUGGCGCAGUUGGCUAGCGCGCCUGCUUUGGGAGCAGGAGGUCGAAGGUUCGAGUCCUUUCACCCCGACCA
rnacentral:tRNA from 1 species